CCUGAGAAACCCAAAAGAUCGAAUGGGGAGAUUCAUCGUCAGCUCAUUUUGUAUAUAUAUAAGUAAUGAUGUGGGUUACUACUUGUAUUGCCUAUACAUUCUUGUAUAUUUUAUUGCUAAAUGUUGUCGGCGUGCACUUCUCCCCUAGUAGAACGUCGCGACUCGUUGAGUGUCGGUCUACGGCCCAAGUGAUAGUCUUUAAUGAUAAAUUUAAAAAAGUCAUUAAAAAUCCUUGGUGUUUUCUGAUCCGACUACUUGGCGAUACUCAAACGGUAUUUAGCCGCAAAUUUUAUUUAAUUUGCGUUCAUACCCGUCGCAAGCGAGGCCAAUUCAAUUACUAGUAGUACGGACCAAGUGCCGUCGCUGGUAUUGGCCAGCUGUUGGUUGUACGGUGUUCUAGAACUGGCUAUAAGAAUUACCGGUCGGCGAUGCUACUGCUUUGGGUACUUUCAGGACCCGUCUUGAAACACGGACCAAGGAGUCUAACAUGUACGCAAGUCAUUGGGAUUUUUAAUAAAAAUUAAACCUAAAGGCGUAAUGAAAGUAAAGGUCAUCCUUGCGUUGACCGAGGGAGGAUGGGUUAUGUUAUGAUAUAAUUCCGCACUCCCGGGGCGUCUCAUUCUUAUU
rnacentral:rRNA from 1 species